rnacentral:lncRNA from 1 species
GGUCCAGAGGGGAGGACACAAAAACCUAGGGAGAUUCCUAGGAAGGUGGACUGUUACAUUAGCUAAAAAGAAAGAGGAAACUGCCACACUCUGAGACUUUAAUAUGGAGGGUUACGGAUAGUCGAGUUCAACACUUUGCUUUAGAUGUUUUUUUUUUUUAUUUUCUUUGGAUUCCAGUACAUGUAAUGGCUUGGAGGAUCUUCACUUUAUUUUUGAAUAGCACAGAAAAAACAUGGAGGCGUCACACGCUGGAAAAUUUAUGUUGGGAAUGUAAGAG